CGUGGCGCCGGGCGGCCGGCGGCGCCGGCUCGCCGGUGCCGAGCCCCUGACAAGUCCCUGAUGGGCCAGGGGGCCGUCCGGGCUGCCCGUUCCUCGG
rnacentral:tRNA from 1 species